rnacentral:rRNA from 1 species
GACGAACCGUGCGAACGUUGUUCGGAUUCACUGGGCUUAAAGGGCGCGUAGGCGGGCCCCCACGCCCGCGGGGAAAGCCCCCGGCUCAACCGGGGGAGUGCCGCGGGGACGGGGGGGCUCGAGCGGUGCAGGGGCACGCGGAACUUCCGGUGGAGCGGUGAAAUUCGUAGAUAUUCGCAAGAACACCAGUGGCGAAGGCGGCUCACUGGCCCGAUACUGACGCUGAGGCACGAAAGCGUGGGGAGCAAACAGG